rnacentral:rRNA from 1 species
AUACGUAGGCAGCGAGCGUUGUUCGGAGUUACUGGGCGUAAAGAGUGCGUAGGCGGUCAGCCAAGUUUGGUGUGAAAUCUCCCGGCUCAACUGGGAGGGUGCGCCGAAAACUGGUUGGCUAGAGUAUGGGAGAGGAAAGCGGAAUUCCUGGUGUAGCGGUGAAAUGCGUAGAUAUCAGGAGGAACACCUGUGGUGUAGACAGCUUUCUGGACCAUAACUGACGCUGAGGCACGAAAGCGUGGGUAGC